AUUGAACGCUGGCGGCAGGCCUAACACAUGCAAGUCGAGCGAGCGGCGGACGGGUGAGUAAUGUAUGGGGAUCUGCCCGAUAGAGGGGGAUAACUACUGGAAACGGUGGCUAAUAACGCCUACGAUCGGAUGUACCUAUAUGGGAUUAGCUAGUAGGUGGGCUAAAGGCUCACCUAGGCGACGAUCUCUAGCUGGUCUGAGAGGAUGAUCAGCCACACUGUGACGGAGACACGGCCCAGACUCCUACGGGAGGCAGCAGUGGGGAAUAUUGCACAAUGGGCGCAAGCCUGAUGAAGCCAUGCCGCGUGUAUGAAGAAGGCCUUAGGGUUGUAAAGGACUUUCAGCGGUGAGGCGGUACCCGCAGAAGAAGCACCGGCUAACUCCGUGCCAGCAGCCGCGGUAAUUC
rnacentral:rRNA from 1 species